rnacentral:lncRNA from 1 species
GGAGGCUUGACCGGCAUUGUACUAGCCAACUCAUCACUGGAUAUUGUAUUACAUGACACAUAGUAUGUUGUAGCCCACUUCCAUUACAUCUUAUCAAUAGGAGCUGUAUUUGCUAUUAUAGGGGGCUUUAUUCACUGAUUCUGUCUAUUUUCAGGCUAUAUACUCAACCAAGCCUAUGCUAAAGCUCAUUUUGCUAUUAUAUUUAUAGGCGUCAAUUUAACAUUUUUCCCACAGCAUUUCCUCGGCCUAUCUGACAUGCCUCAACGCUACUCCGGUUAUCCCGACACAUACACCACAUGAAAUACUAUCUCAUCCAUAGGCUCAUUUAUUUCCCUGACAGCAGUAAUUCUAAUAAUUUUCAUGAUCUGAGAAGCCUUUGCUUCAAAACGAAAAGUUCUAAUAAUUGAACGACCAUCUACCAACUUAGAAUGACUAUGUGGCUGUCCCCCACCCUAUCACACAUUCGAAGAACCAACCUACAUGAAAACCUAA